rnacentral:rRNA from 1 species
GCGCAUUAGCUAGUUGGUGAGGUAACGGCUCACCAAGGCGACGAUGCGUAGCCGGCCUGAGAGGGUGACCGGCCACACUGGGACUGAGACACGGCCCAGACUCCUACGGGAGGCAGCAGUAGGGAAUCUUCCGCAAUGGGCGAAAGCCUGACGGAGCGACGCCGCGUGAGCGAAGAAGGCCUUCGGGUCGUAAAGCUCUGUUGUGAGGGACGAAGGAGCGCCGUUCGAAGAGGGCGGCGCGGUGACGGUACCUCACGAGAAAGCCCCGGCUAACUACGUGCCAGCAGCCGCGGUAAUACGUAGGGGGCGAGCGUUGUCCGGAAUUAUUGGGCGUAAAGCGCGCGCAGGCGGUCUCUUAAGUCUGAUGUGAAAGCCCACGGCUCAACCGUGGAGGGUCAUUGGAAACUGGGGGACUUGAGGGCAGGAGAGGAGAGCGGAAUUCCACGUGUAGCGGUGAAAUG